GAGAAUUCAAAGACAAAGAGGAUAAGUUUCUUUAUAUAUAAAUUCUAUAUAUAUUAUAUAAAGAAACUUAUUAACUUUAUCUUUGAAUUCUC